rnacentral:miRNA from 1 species
CUCACCAUUUACUCCAUUUUAGUAUCAAAGAGUUGAUGUAGUGUGGUGGAAAGAACCACUGGACUUGGAGUCAGAAAACUUGGUUCCAAGU